UGGAUAUAUCGACUUCACUGCGGACC
rnacentral:piRNA from 1 species